AAAAAGGCUAUGAUGAAAACAGUAGGCUGCAUUUUGAUCCACAGAGAGCCGCAGAAAGCUGAGAAGCGGUGAUUCAAAAGCAGUUGAAGAUCCUUUCGGAGCAUAUAUGCGGAAAUUAAGUAAGCAUGUACGGUCCACCCGGUAAAGUGGAGAUGACUCAAGUCAUCAUCUUAAGGAGUCCAUCUUAAUUAGGGAUGGAAAACUAGGGUGGUACCGCGGAGAAAAACUUCGUCCCUAUA
rnacentral:ncRNA from 1 species